CUGAGCCCCUCUCGCGCCUUUUGCCACGCACGUGACAAAAAAUUUGAUAAAUCUGUGGAAUGAGACCGUCGACAAACUGAACCAAUUCUCUUGGCUUCACGUUCGCUUUUCUCCACCCUUUUCAACCUAUCAAGGACAACGUUGCGUCAAGGCAGCGUUUCAUUUGCAAUUUAUCUAAUCAAUUUUCAUUAUCGGAUUCUAUUUUUCUUUUUUAAUACUGUGUCCUAGGACCUAAUUUAAUAUUUUUUCAUCACUACUUUUUUCAUCAUUAUUUUUUUCAUCACUAUCUUUUCCACCUUGAUCUCACAAUUUUAUAAAGUUUAAAAAAAUUGAAGUAUUUAUAACAUUAUGAAAAAGUUUUGUGAACAUAUAAUUUUGAAAUGAUAUCGUCAAUAAGCAAUUCUCGCAUUUCAAAUAUUAUUAUUAAUAUUAAUAGAUUGGGUAGAUUAACAUUUUGCAUUAUACUUGUUUAUUAGUGCAUAUGACAGAAAAUGUAUUAAUUCUCCGGUUAGGCAUAACGUGAAAAAGAAUGAAUAAUGUUCUGGUUUUAUUACUAUUCUGAAUACUAUUUUUACAUUGAGUGAUUUAUGUGGUAGCUGUGUAUAUGUUCAACAUAUAAUACGAAUUAAAACAGUGAUAUUUGAAUCUAUAGAACAAUAAAAUGAUUUAUUUAAUUAAACGAUAACUGUGUAGAUUAUUAGUAUAUUAAAAAUAACUUACAAAACAUACUUGUCUAUUCUUAAACUUCCAAGUAUAGAUUAGGCUAGAUAUAUUUCUAUACUUUAUUAUGAAUUUUAUUCAUAUUAUUAUACAUUCUGUUAUAUACAUUUUGUAACCAAAAGUACGUAAAUUAAAUUGUAUUGUGUCUAUAAUGUUUUAUUAUACAAAUUUUUGAUAUAAAAUAAAUAAAGGGUAAUGUAUAAAAGGAGAAUAGUAUGAUAUAUAGUACCUAUUUCGAAUUUAAAUUCUAUUUAGAGAAGAGAACGCAAGUGGCGCUAGUAGUUUCCGCGUUUUCCGCAUCGGUCGGUUUGAAUUCGCGUUUUGUUGCACGAAAUUGUGAAAAUUAUAUAGAAAAGUGAUAUCAAUUACCAUAAAUAUUUCUCAAAGAGUGAUUAAAAGGUUUAAUUCAAUUACUGGAGCAAUAUAACAGGAAUAAAUCUAAGUGGAGUGAAGUAGGAAAGAAGUAGGAAGAGUAAAGCAGCCGUUAAUUUAACAAAAUGGAAAGCAUUGUCGUAGGACCAAGUAAUUGGAUUACGAUGGGUCCACGGGAGACAGGGGGAACGUCCAUUUUAACAAAAAUCCUGAGAAUGUGGAGUUUAAUGUUUCUUCGUAUGCUCGUACGUAUGCUCUUUAUCUUAUAUGCUAAUUACGUCGCGUUAAUUGAAAUAUAAAUUUUCCACCUGUACGACGUAUUUCUUGUUCUGUACGGUUCAAUGUAUUAUACUGUUACGAAGUUAUAGGUAAAUUUACGCAGAAUAAGCCGAAGAAUAAAAUGUUUCGCUCUGUGUAAUGUCUACGAGAAAAUAUAAAGUUGUGAAAUUAUGUAUUGAGUAAUAAAUGUUCGUUUUCUGGGAAAUAUGAUAAAUAUUUCUAACAAAUAUAAUAAUUUCAUACGCGUAUGUAUGGGGUUAGGAAACUAAUUCUUAAUAUGGUGUAUGGUAUUCUUCGAUCUUAAAUGUGGAAAUUAUAGUUUUGGACGGAAAUUGAGAUUUUCUCGGAUGAAUCAAACUUCUAGCAUUCUAGAUAUUCUAAAUAAAUACAAGUUAUCCUAAAGUUUCGAAAAAUCUCAUUUUUUUCGUUCAAACGAUUGCGAGGUUCAUCAUGAGAGACGAAUGAAGUGUUAACUGUAGGUUUCUAGGUACGAUGAUAGUUUGAAAAAAAAAUCCAGAUGCCGAAUAAAAUAAACACGAU